GAGAAUGAAAAUCAUCAUACAAAUUAAUGAAAUUAUCUUGUUAUUAGCUUUUCUAUUAAUUGUAUUUUUUACAUAAGCUAAAAUUAUCGAUAAGUUAUUAUUUUCCACCCUUUUUUUUUAUUUAUCAGUCACUAGUAUAUUCUGUUUAUUUUCACGAAUAAAAAUUUGAAUUAUCAAUUAUUCUAGCUUUUGGAGAAAUUUUGGGGAUUAGGGCUCGCUGGAUUGAAGAACCACUUUCGAUAUGUUGGGGAUUUAGUGGAAUGCGGCUUCUCCCGGAGUGCGCACGGUGGUGGCGCAUGGCUACGUGCCGCCGCCCCUCAGUGACGAGGGGCUGGAGAUCGAAAAUGGAAAUCCCUUGUGAAUCUGAUGGAAAAAGCGCUUGGGGGAAAUGAGGAAUUGAGGAUGCUACCAAGUACGAACAAGAAUAAGAGGCACCUAAGUGGUGGUAUUUUUCCCCUUUGUAAAGAUACAGGAUGGUACUAUCCAUCCAUUACGAUAUGGAGAAAUUGUUUGGUACCUUUUCGUCAUUAAGGCUGGAAGAGUCUUAUGAAGUGGGGGAGUGGAGUAUGUGUUUGUAAGAGCGCAAGCUUGACAUCAACAAGAUGCUUCUGCUGUGGCUAGCUUCUUAACCACACAUCUUCCAUGCCUGCCUUUGUCUCUGAAGGAUAUAGCGGUGAAACCACUGGUUAGAGACAAAUUAUAACCCAAAUGAAGAUGGACUGUGAAUCUCCACACUGUCCAAGAAAUAUAAGAGUUUCUAAAUCUUCAACUGGAGAUGGUUCCGGCGAGCUGUUGGAAUGUAGGAAAUAGACCUCAUUGCAACUUAAAAAAAAUAUGUUAUCGAAAUGCAUAGGACCUUAGUGAGUCCUGUCUCAUGAUGCUGGAUGCGGUAAUCAGUGCAAGUUUUCUAGCCAUCUGUUUCUCUAUCACUUUUGUAGUUUGAGGGGUUUCUUGUACCAAGGGGAAGUCGUGUAAUAGGUUAAGAUUUGGAUCCAAAUGUUAUGAAUCAUCUGUAAAAUCACAUACUGCCUAUGUUAUGGACUUGAUUUUGAUAUCACAUUUGACCUUUGCUUA